rnacentral:rRNA from 1 species
UACAGAGGGUGCAAGCGUUAAUCGGAAUUACUGGGCGUAAAGCGUGCGUAGACGGUCAUGUAAGUCGGGUGUGAAAGCCCCGGGCUCAACCUGGGAAUUGCAUUCGAGACUGCAUGGCUAGGAUGCGGAAGAGGGAAGCGGAAUUUCCGGUGUAGCGGUGAAAUGCGUAGAUAUCAGGAGGAACACCGGUGGCGAAGGCGGGUCUCUGGGCCGGACUGACUGACGCUGGAGGAGCGAAAGCCGUGGGGAGCGAACAGG